UAGCCAUGCUAGCUCGAACGAGUUCACACUCGUGGCACAUAGCUCAGUAACACGUGGCCAAGCUACCCUUCAGUCAGCAAUACCCUCGGGAAAUUGAGGCUAAUAGCUGAUACGAAACAGACGCUGGAAUGCACUGUAUUCCAAAGACAUCGCUGAAGGAUGCGGCUGCGGCCGAUUAGGUAGACGGUGGGGUAACGGCCCACCGUGCCAGUAAUCGGUACGGGUGAUGAGAGUCAGAGCCCGGAGACGGAAUCUGAGACAAGAUUCCGGGCCCUACGGGGCGCAGCAGGCGCGAAACCUUUACACUGCACGAAAGUGCGAUAGGGGAAUCCCAAGUGCGAGGGCAUAUUAGCCCUCGCUUUUGUUGACUCUAAGGCGGUCAACGAAUAAGAGCUGGGCAAGACCGGUGCCAGCCGCCGCGGUAAUACCGGCAGCUCAAGUGAUGUCCCAUAUUAUUGGGCCUAAAGCGUCCGUAGCUGGCCGACCAAGUCUAUCGGGAAAUCCACCUGCCCAACAGGUGGGCGUCCGGUAGAAACUGGCCGGCUUGGAACCGGAAGGCUCAGAGAGUACGUCCGGGGUAGGAGUGAAAUCCCGUAAUCCCGGACGGACUACCGAUGGCGAAAGCACUCUGAGAAGACGGCUUCGACAGUGAGGGACGAAAGCUCGGGUCUCAAACCGGAUUAGAUACCCGGGUAGUCCGAGCCGUAAACAAUGCUCGUUAGGUGUGGCACCCACUACGAGUGGGUGCUGUGCCGCAGGGA
rnacentral:rRNA from 1 species